CGGGGGGGUAGGGCAGGGCAUUAACGUUGAAGUCGUGCGGAUGUAGGCGAUGACAUUGCUCCUGGAUUCAGCGGCGGACGGGUGAGUAAUGCCUAGGAAUCUGCCUGGUAGUGGGGGAUAACGUCCGGAAACGGGCGCUAAUACCGCAUACGUCCUGAGGGAGAAAGUGGGGGAUCUUCGGACCUCACGCUAUCAGAUGAGCCUAGGUCGGAUUAGCUAGUUGGUGGGGUAAAGGCCUACCAAGGCGACGAUCCGUAACUGGUCUGAGAGGAUGAUCAGUCACACUGGAACUGAGACACGGUCCAGACUCCUACGGGAGGCAGCAGUGGGGAAUAUUGGACAAUGGGCGAAAGCCUGAUCCAGCCAUGCCGCGUGUGUGAAGAAGGUCUUCGGAUUGUAAAGCACUUUAAGUUGGGAGGAAGGGCAGUAAGUUAAUACCUUGCUGUUUUGACGUUACCAACAGAAUAAGCACCGGCUAACUUCGUGCCAGCAGCCGCGGUAAUACGAAGGGUGCAAGCGUUAAUCGGAAUUACUGGGCGUAAAGCGCGCGUAGGUGGUUCAGCAAGUUGGAUGUGAAAUCCCCGGGCUCAACCUGGGAACUGCAUCCAAAACUACUGAGCUAGAGUACGGUAGAGGGUGGUGGAAUUUCCUGUGUAGCGGUGAAAUGCGUAGAUAUACGAAGGAACACCAGUGGCGAAGGCGACCACCUGGACUGAUACUGACACUGAGGUGCGAAAGCGUGGGGAGCAAACACGAUUAGAUACCCUGGUAGUCCACGGCGUAUACGAUGUCGACUAGCCUUUGGGAUCCUUGAGAUCUUAUUGGCGCACCUUACGCGAUAAGUCGACCGCCUGGUGAGUACGGCCGCCCCGGUUGAACUCCGAUGAAUUGACUGGGGCUCGCUCAAACACCUGAAACACGUGGUUUUACUCCGCAACUACCCCUAAAAACUUUACCUGGCCUUGAUAUGCUGAGAACUUUCCAGAAAAUGAAUUGGUGCCUUUCUCUAAUUGGUAACAUCGGUACUGCAUGGGUGUAAUUAACUGGCGGUCCUCCCAACUUGAAUUAGUUUCCUAACCGAAGGAAAUCCUUGUCCUCAGUGGCCGGGACGCAGGGUGGGUUCCUCCCAUGGACCCGAAUGUUCUCCAACCUGCCGCCCCCUGCGGAAUGAGGACGAUGCGUCCAUUCCCCUUGUGGGGGAGGGAGCCCCCCCCACCAAUAUAAGGAAGGGGAGGCCAGGGUGGGGGGGUUUUCCCCCCCCACCCACAAAAACCCAAACCCCGGACCAUGCUUUGGUCAGUGAGGGGCGGAGAAAAACCCAACUUUUUCCUUCCCCCCCUAGAAAGGCGAGAAAAAUUUAAUGGUUUCCCUGGGAUUUGCCUUCCCCCCCACCUUCACUCACCG
rnacentral:rRNA from 1 species